rnacentral:rRNA from 1 species
CCUACGUGUGGCAGCAGUGGGGAAUAUUGGACAAUGGGCGAAAGCCUGAUCCAGCCAUGCCGCAUGUGUGAAGAAGGCCUUCGGGUUGUAAAGCACUUUCAGUGGGGAAGAAAGCCUUGGGGCUAAUACCCUCGAGGAAGGACAUCACCCACAGAAGAAGCACCGGCUAACUCCGUGCCAGCAGCCGCGGUAAUACGGAGGGUGCGAGCGUUAAUCGGAAUUACUGGGCGUAAAGCGCGCGUAGGCGGUCUGAUAAGCCGGUUGUGAAAGCCCCGGGCUCAACCUGGGAACGGCAUCCGGAACUGUCAGGCUAGAGUGCAGGAGAGGAAGGUAGAAUUCCCGGUGUAGCGGUGAAAUGCGUAGAGAUCGGGAGGAAUACCAGUGGCGAAGGCGGCCUUCUGGACUGACACUGACGCUGAGGUGCGAAAGCGUGGGUAGCAAACAGGAUUAGAUACCCCGGUAGUC